CAGUAGCCGCGGGAAUACGUAGGGUGCGAGCGUUAAUCGGAAUUACUGGGCGUAAAGCGUGCGCAGGCGGUUGUGUAAGACAGGUGUGAAAUCCCCGGGCUUAACCUGGGAACUGCGCUUGUGACUGCACAGCUAGAGUAUGGCAGAGGGGGGUGGAAUUCCACGUGUAGCAGUGAAAUGCGUAGAGAUGUGGAGGAACACCGAUGGCGAAGGCAGCCCCCUGGGCCAAUACUGACGCUCAUGCACGAAAGCGUGGGGAGCAAACAGAAUUAGAUACCCCCGUAGUCCCUGUCUCUUAUAC
rnacentral:rRNA from 1 species